rnacentral:rRNA from 1 species
UAGGGAAUCUUCGGCAAUGGACGAAAGUCUGACCGAGCAACGCCGCGUGAGUGAAGAAGGUUUUCGGAUCGUAAAACUCUGUUGUUAGAGAAGAACAAGGACGGUAGUAACUGAACGUCCCCUGACGGUAUCUAACCAGAAAGCCACGGCUAACUACGUGCCAGCAGCCGCGGUAAUACGUAGGUGGCAAGCGGUGUCCGGAUUUAUUGGGCGUUAAGCGAGCGCAGGCGGUUUCUUAAGUCUGAUGUGAAAGCCCCCGGCUCAACCGGGGAGGGUCAUUGGAAACUUGGAUUCUUUAGUUCAGGAGAGGGGAGUUGAAUUCCCUGUGUAGCUGUGAAAUGCGUAGAUAUAUGGAGUAACACCAGUUGCGAAGGCGGCUCUCUGGUCUGUAACUGACGCUGAGGCUCGGAAGCGUGGCGAGCAAACAGG